CCGGCGCGGGGCAGGGGGCGGGCCCUCCGCGAGGGGUAGGGAAGGGGCGGAGCGGCCAGGCCACCAGCCGGCAUUGCUCCAUUGGGCAAGCCACGCUGAGGGAUCCACCUAAGAGCCAAUCAAAGGCACAAACAUCAGACGAAGGGGCGGGAUCGCCACAGGGACCCUCUUCGGAGGUCAGAGCUCGGCGGGGUGCGGCUAGUGGCGGAGCGCGCUGCGAGGGGAGGGCUUUCCACUGUCGCUGGCGUGAACUCGCGUGCCCGGCUUCACCAGGUACUGCCUUCUAACGAGCUGGCCAUUUCCACAUGUCAGAUAGGACCAACUUGCCUUUUAACUACCCGUGUGAUACUUAAACACUGUUGCCGGUAUCACAGCUUUUCUUCAAAACAGGGCAGUCAGUGAAGGCUCCCCAGGGGAGAUGACGUUUGAGCCGAGUUUCAGAAGAUGAUUGGAGUUUACCACGUGUUCACAGGAAGCAACGAGAAUGAGGGCAUUCCAGUAGCAGGAGACAGCAUGCAUAGAGAUGCUGAUGAAGAAAGAGCCUAGCGCACGUGGGAAACUGCAAAAGUUCAGACUGGUUGGAAUGCUGGAAAUGUUGUGAAUGACAGGAGAUGAGGCUGGCGAGAAAACAGAGGUCAGAUUGUGGAAGGCUGUCAAGCCAAAGACUUUGAUUUUAUUCUUGAGAUUGAUGAGAUGUGUGUAAUCCAGGAGUGUGCAAAACAAUCUGUAAGGGUUCAGAAAACAUACUGCUUCUAUAUAUAGUUACCUUUGUCUUAACUUGAAAAUUUCAAAUUGUGUAGGAGUUACAAUGUGUGUAAUUGUUAUUAUAGUACUGGAUCCAAAUAAUUUAUAAAUAAAUAAAUAUAGACAUAAUAUGGUG
rnacentral:lncRNA from 10 species